CCUACGGGUGGCAGCAGUGGGGAAUAUUGGACAAUGGGGGCAACCCUGAUCCAGCCAUGCCGCGUGUGUGAAGAAGGCCCUCGGGUUGUAAAGCACUUUCAGUGAGGAAGAACGCCUGGUGGUUAAUACCCAUCAGGAAAGACAUCACUCACAGAAGAAGCACCGGCUAACUCCGUGCCAGCAGCCGCGGUAAUACGGAGGGUGCGAGCGUUAAUCGGAAUUACUGGGCGUAAAGCGCGCGUAGGUGGCUUGAUAAGCCGGUUGUGAAAGCCCCGGGCUCAACCUGGGAACGGCAUCCGGAACUGUCAAGCUAGAGUGCAGGAGAGGGAGGUAGAAUUCCCGGUGUAGCGGUGAAAUGCGUAGAGAUCGGGAGGAAUACCAGUGGCGAAGGCGGCCUUCUGGACUGACACUGACACUGAGGUGCGAAAGCGUGGGUAGCAAACAGGAUUAGAUACCCGAGUAGUC
rnacentral:rRNA from 1 species